AUUGAACGCUGGCGGCAGGCCUAACACAUGCAAGUCGAACGAGUGGCGGACGGGUGAGUAAUGUCUGGGAAACUGCCCGAUGGCGGGGGAUAACUCCUGGAAACGGUAGCUAAUACCGCAUACCAUCGGAUGUUCCCAGAUGGGAUUAGCUUGUAGGUUGGGUAACGGCUCACCUAGGCGACGAUCCCUAGCUGGUCUGAGGGGAUGACCAGCCACCCUGGAACUAGGACACGGUCCAGACUCCUACGGGAGGCAGCAGUGGGUAAUAUUGCACAAUGGGCGCAGGCCUGAAGCAGCCAUGCCGCGUGUAUGAAGAAGGCCUUCGGGUUGUAAAGUACUUUCAGCGGGGAGGCGUUACCCUCAGAAGAAGCACCGGCUAACUCCGUGCCAGCAGCCGCGGUAUUC
rnacentral:rRNA from 1 species